rnacentral:rRNA from 1 species
UACGGAGGAUCCGAGCGUUAUCCGGAUUUAUUGGGUUUAAAGGGUGCGCAGGCGGGAGAUUAAGUCGGCGGUGAAAUUUUGCAGCUCAACUGUAAAAGUGCCUUCGAAACUGGUUUCCUUGAGUGUGGAUGAGGUAGGCGGAAUUUGUGGUGUAGCGGUGAAGUGCAUAGAUAUCACGAGGAACUCCGAUUGCGCAGGCAGCCUACUAAACCAUAACUGACGCUCAGGCACGAAGGCGUGGGGAUCAAACAGGAUUAGAUACCCCUGUA